GGAGAUUAAAAUCUCUAUAAAUAGCCAUACAUUCUUUGUAUUUUCAGAUUUGAGAUUUAAUUAAUAAACUUCUGCAGAGUUUUUCUCUCAAUACCUAUGUAUCAUGUCUAAGUGUUUUUCUCUUAAGUUUCAAGUUAUGUCAGGUGGUAUCAAAGCUCAGAAAUCACUCCAAUCGAGAUGGCUUACCUUGAUAGAGGUGUCAAUUAUAAUGGUUCUCGAGACGGUGACCUGGAAGCUAAAGCCUUUACCAUAGGGAGGAAACAUUGCAACGAUGAAAGCGAUGUUUGGAGCAACGGAUGGACCUCAAAUUCAAGCGUACCAAGAGAUGCUUCAAAGAAUUUGUAGAUCGUCUUGAUACUUUGAUAAUCAAUACA
rnacentral:misc_RNA from 1 species